AUUGAACGCUGGCGGCAGGCCUAACACAUGCAAGUCGAGCGAGCUGCGGACGGGUGAGUAAUUCCUAGGAAUCUGCCUGGUAGUGGGGGAUGACGUCAGGAAACGGGCGCUAAUACCACAUACUAUCAGCUGAGCCCAGAUGGGAUUAGCUAGUAGGUGGUGUAACGGCUUACCUAGGCGACGAUCCCUAGCUGGUCUGAGAGGAUGACCAGCCACACUGGAACUGAGACACGGUCCAGACUCCUACGGGAGGCAGCAGUGGGGAAUAUUGCACAAUGGGCGCAAGCCUGACGCAGCCAUGCCGCGUGUAUGAAGAAGGCCUUCGGGUUGUAAAGUACUUUCAGCGGGGAGGCGUUACCCGAAGAAGAAGCACCGGCUAACUCCGUGCCAGCAGCCGCGGUAAUUC
rnacentral:rRNA from 1 species